rnacentral:rRNA from 1 species
CAGCAGCCACGGUAAUACGUAGGUGGCAAGCGUUGUCCGGAAUUAUUGGGCGUAAAGGGCUCGCAGGCGGUUUCUUAAGUCCGAUGUGAAAGCCCCCGGCUCAACCGGGGAGGGUCAUUGGAAACUGGGAAACUUGAGUGCAGAAGAGGAGAGUGGAGUUCCACGUGUAGCGGUGAAAUGCGUAGAGAUGUGGAGGAACACCAGCGGCGAAGGCGACUCUCUGGUCUGUAACUGACGCUGAGGAGCGAAAGCGUGGGGAGCGAACAGGAUUAGAGACCCGUGUAGUCCCUGUCUCUUAUAC